CUGAAAUCCCACAGGACCGUAGAUCUCCAGGAAGAGGGUUGAACUAGACGUUUCCACUUCACAAUAACAGCACUUGACCAGGCAGCUCAGGAAUUUGACGAACUGACUGAAUUGUUGGAAAGUACUGGAACAGAAGGUCCAAGGUCCCACCUCUCUUUCUAUGCAUUUUGAAAAGGAGGUGAAGAGAGAUGAUGCAAGGAAUCGAGGAAAGAUUAAUUGAGAAAGAGUACUUUAACAAGGAACUUCUCCAAGGUCACCAUCUUUAGAAUGCUAGUAGUGGGAUUGGGAGGUGACAGAUGGAGAGAAGGGGGUUGGGUAGGGGGUAGCUGAUGGGUAAGCUAGUGCUCACUAGGGGUUGAGGUCAGUCGGCGACACUCAUCAUCCUAAUCACAUCCGGAAACUCGCCUCAUCCCCCCACCAUCCACAUAAGCACAAGGUCACAGCCUUGCCGGGCCAUCAUCUACAUACCGUACAUGCUUACAAACGCACACUCGCUUACACGGGAAACACUUCCAUACGAAGCCGCCACUUCACAGGGCAGAUGCAUACCAACAUGCCAAGACUGCUAAGCCCCUGUCCCACACCUUGCUGAGUUCAUGUGAUUGAUGUUAAGGUAGAUUUUUUGCCAUUGGGUAGACCUCAUCAAGAGCUUUCUAUUACUACAGAAUACACAUUUUCCCCCAGGUGUCAUAUGCCCCAUUGUGACUCACUCAACCCUCGAUUUGAGGAUUGGAAUCCAAAAUGUAAGUAUUUUGUUUAUGUUGAUAAAAAAAAUCAACAAUAAUUAGGUAUAAAUCACAGUAUUUCUAGUUGCACACUCAUUUCAAAUCCAUUCUUUGUCUGUAGUAUACUCCGUAGUUACUCAUUUUGGGCUCUGACUGUAUUUAAAUAUUACAACAGGCAAAAUAAAUUCCAACCCAAGGUCAUUACCAAUAUCACAGAGCCAAAUUUACAUGAGAAAAAUACUAGACUCACAUAUAUUACACGAGAAGUAUAUCUGAAAUAUAAACCAAAGUGCUGCCUUAUGGUUUACGUGACUAUCAAUGCAGUGUGAAGUGCAGAGGCCUCAUCAAUAUAGGUGACACUUAUUUGUGUCACCUCCAUAUAAAAAUCUCAUUACACUGAGCUUUGACAGAUCUACAGUCUCGUUGCUUAAGAUCUGGAAGACAUUCAAUUAGAGGGAAGCAGGAAAACUCAGAGCCAAUCAAACUUAAUGGCAAAGAAGUCUGUCUGCCAAUAAAGGGCCUGUUCGGAGGGUGAAACGUUACAGAACGUUCAGAAAGAAAUGCAUAUGAACAGAUAGGAUUCACUGACAUUGUGCCAUAUCUAUUACAGUUCUUUCUGCAACAUUCUCAAUAUUUCAACUCUGAAUACAGCCCAGGUUAGUAUGGCAACCCAACAAUAACGUUCUCUUAAUGUUGUAAUAAGGCCAUGACCUAAUUCUGAGAUAUGAAUAUUUUAGAAAUGUUUUGCCAACAUUGUGGUUGCAGGACAUAACUGUGGUCUUCCUAGGUGUCAUUUAUUGUACAAUAUUGUGGGACUGUCAUCUAAAUGUUCUCUGAAGGCAUUUCGGUAACUCCAAGAAGACGAUCUAAACUGGUUAAAUCCAAAAUCUACAAGAUUUUCUGCUGUUCAACGGUUGAUUCUUGAAGAAUAUAACUUAUGAAUGAAUGCCUUAGAGUUUCGUACGACUGUAUUAUCCUAACAUAAUCCAGUAUCUAAGUCUGUUCUAGUCCAUUGUCUAUGUCUUGUAGCUGGGCUAAAUUCACAAAUCUUACUGAUGUCUGUCAGUCAAAGUCCAACACCCUAGCUGCUACUCCAAGUGGUCUGCAUUACCUGGGACCGUUUUCAUGAAGUGCCUCGGAGUAGGAGUGCUGGUCUAGGAUCAGUUUAACAUUUUAGAUUAUAGUUAAUAAGAUAAUAUGGACAGGAGGGACCUUAUCCUAGGUCACCACUCCUAUUGUGAGAAGCUUUAUGAAUACAGGCCUAGAUCUAUCAGACGAGGAUGUCCCAACCACCGACCAGCCCUAAAUCUGAUUGGUCCCUCUGAAUGGUUGUGCUGUGUCACUGUUACUGUGGAGGGGACUGCUUCUAGCAACACCUGACACACAUGAACUGAAGUGAGCUACACAGAAAUGUUGCUGAACCUCUUUGAAUUGAGAGCUUGAUGUGGAAUAUAUUUUCUUAAUUUUGUGGCAUUUCGAAAUAAAACCAAACACAAUUCCA